rnacentral:rRNA from 1 species
CGGGGGGAGCAAGCGUUGUUCGGAUUACUGGGCGUAAAGGGCGCGUAGGCGGCCACCGCAAGUCGGUUGUGAAAUCUCCGGGCUUAACCCGGAAAGGUCAAUCGAUACUGCGGGGCUAGAGUGCAGAAGGGGCAACUGGAAUUCUCGGUGUAGCGGUGAAAUGCGUAGAUAUCGAGAGGAACACCUGCGGCGAAGGCGGGUUGCUGGGCUGACACUGACGCUGAAGCGCGAAAGCUAGGGGAGCGAACGGGAUUAGAUACCCCGGUAGUCCUAGCCUUAAACGAUGAAUGCUUGGUGUCUGGGGUUUUAUAGUCCCCGGGUGCCGUCGCUAACGCUUUAAGCAUUCCGCCUGGGGAGUACGGUCGCAAGACUG